rnacentral:rRNA from 1 species
UACGUAGGGUGCAAGCGUUAAUCGGAAUUACUGGGCGUAAAGCGUGCGCAGGCGGUGAUGUAAGACAGAUGUGAAAUCCCCGGGCUCAACCUGGGAACUGCAUUUGUGACUGCAUCGCUGGAGUGCGGCAGAGGGGGAUGGAAUUCCGCGUGUAGCAGUGAAAUGCGUAGAUAUGCGGAGGAACACCGAUGGCGAAGGCAAUCCCCUGGGCCUGCACUGACGCUCAUGCACGAAAGCGUGGGUAGCGAACAGG